UCUAAACCACCGCCAUACAAAUCUCAAGUGGCUUCAACUUAGCCUAUUAAUGGUUGGUUCAAAUAAAACAAGAACAAUCAAAUCUAACCUGGUGAAACAUCUCCAUGUCAAUUUCAGCCUCUGUCUUCCAAGACGUUUCAUCUGAAAAAGAAGAUGAGACAUUCUCUUGAAAUAUGACUUUAGCGUCUUUGAGAAAAUUCUUGCCAAUGAUGAAGAGUUCCUCUCCUCCCCUCACUGAGCAGCUGUGCAGUGAUUUCUUCAGAAUCUCAGGCACCCCUGCCGGCUGGGCUGUUGACACAGCAGGACUGAAAACAAAGACCUUCACUUACUGCAAAGGAUGGAAGACGACAGCGUUUGGAGCGUGAGCACUGAACCGUCUGGACGUGGGAUGUUGACCCGAAACACGAGCCUCGCCCGCGUGCUCUUCUUUUUUGACCCCGCC